rnacentral:rRNA from 1 species
UACGGAGGGGGCUAGCGUUGUUCGGAAUUACUGGGCGUAAAGCGCACGUAGGCGGCUUUGUAAGUCAGAGGUGAAAGCCCGGAGCUUAACUCCGGAAUUGCCUUUGAGACUGCAUCGCUUGAAUCCAGGAGAGGUGAGUGGAAUUCCGAGUGUAGAGGUGAAAUUCGUAGAUAUUCGGAAGAACACCAGUGGCGAAGGCGGCUCACUGGAGCUGGUAUUGACGCUGAGGUGGCGAAAGCGUGGGGAGCAAACAGG